rnacentral:rRNA from 1 species
UACAGAGGCCCCAAGCGUUGUUCGGAAUCACUGGGCGUAAAGGGAGCGUAGGCGGCGUGGUAAGUCAGAUGUGAAAUCCCGGGGCUCAACCCCGGAACUGCAUCCGAUACUGCCGUGCUUGAGGGUUGGAGAGGUGACUGGAAUUAUCGGUGUAGCAGUGAAAUGCGUGGAUAUCGAUAGGAACACUCGUGGCGAAGGCGAGUCACUGGACAACAUCUGACGCUGAGGCUCGAAGGCUAGGGGAGCAAAAGGG